rnacentral:rRNA from 1 species
AACGAACGCUAGCGGCGUGCCUAACACAUGCAAGUCGAACGAGAAAGGGGCUUCGGCUCCGAGUAAAGUGGCGAACGGGUGAGUAACACGUAGGUAACCUGCCUCUAAGAUUGGGAUAACCUGUCGAAAGACGAGCUAAUAACGAAUUAGAACACGGCUUGCUCUGAAGCAGGGGGCAAAGGUAACCUCUAUUUAUAAGCUAUCGCUUAGAGGUGGGCCAGCGCACCAUUAACUAGUUGGUGGGGUAACGGCCUACCAAGUGAAAGAUGGUUAGCAGGUCUGAGAGGAUGAUCAGCCACACUGGAACGAAGACACGGUCCAGAUUCCUACGGGAGGCAGCAGUGGGGAAUAUUGCGCAAUGGGCGAAAGCCUGACGCAGCAACGCCGCGUGAGUGAUGAAGGCCUUCGGGUCGUAAAGCUCUGUCGGAGGGAACGAAUGCUCUUGAGGUUAACAGCCUCGGGAAGUGACGGUACCCUCAAAGGAAGCACCGGCUAACUCUGUGCCAGCCGCCGCGGUAAUAC